rnacentral:rRNA from 1 species
AUUGAACGCUGGCGGCAUGCCUUACACAUGCAAGUCGAACGGCAGCGGGGGAGAAGCUUGCUUUUCCUGCCGGCGAGUGGCGAACGGGUGAGUAAUACAUCGGAACGUGCCCCGUAGUGGGGGAUAACUAGUCGAAAGAUUAGCUAAUACCGCAUACGACCUGAGGGUGAAAGUGGGGGACCGCAAGGCCUCAUGCUAUAGGAGCGGCCGAUGUCUGAUUAGCUAGUUGGUGGGGUAAAGGCCUACCAAGGCGACGAUCAGUAGCUGGUCUGAGAGGACGAUCAGCCACACUGGGACUGAGACACGGCCCAGACUCCUACGGGAGGCAGCAGUGGGGAAUUUUGGACAAUGGGCGAAAGCCUGAUCCAGCAAUGCCGCGUGUGUGAAGAAGGCCUUCGGGUUGUAAAGCACUUUUGUCCGGAAAGAAAUGGCUCUGGUUAAUACCUGGGGUCGAUGACGGUACCGGAAGAAUAAGGACCGGCUAACUACGUGCCAGCCGCCGCUGUAACAC